GAUGAGUAGGGCGGGACACGUGGUAUCCUGUCUGAAUAUGGGGGGACCAUCCUCCAAGGCUAAAUACUCCUGACUGACCGAUAGUGAACCAGUACCGUGAGGGAAAGGCGAAAAGAACCCCGGCGAGGGGAGUGAAAAAGAACCUGAAACCGUGUACGUACAAGCAGUGGGAGCCUCUUUAUGGGGUGACUGCGUACCUUUUGUAUAAUGGGUCAGCGACUUAUAUUCUGUAGCAAGGUUAACCGAAUAGGGGAGCCGAAGGGAAACCGAGUCUUAACUGGGCGUUAAGUUGCAGGGUAUAGACCCGAAACCCGGUGAUCUAGCCAUGGGCAGGUUGAAGGUUGGGUAACACUAACUGGAGGACCGAACCGACUAAUGUUGAAAAAUUAGCGGAUGACUUGUGGCUGGGGGUGAAAGGCCAAUCAAACCGGGAGAUAGCUGGUUCUCCCCGAAAGCUAUUUAGGUAGCGCCUCGUGAAUUCAUCUCCGGGGGUAG
rnacentral:rRNA from 1 species